GGCCGCGGUACCCUAACCGUGCAAAGGUAGCGUAAUCACUUGUCUAUUAAUUGUAGACCCGUAUGAAAGGCAAAAUGAGGGUCUAACUGUCUCUUAUAGUAAAUCAAUUAAACUGAUCUCCCAGUCCAAAAGCUGGGAUCCCCCCAUAAGACCAGAAGACCCUGUGAAGCUUAAACUAAACUAUUAAACCCAAUAAUAACUCCUUUCGGUUGGGGCGACCUUGGAAAAAAAAAGAACUUCCAAAUAUAUGGUCAUUCACCACAUCCACUCCGGCCAACAAGCCUAACACGACCCAGCACAGCUGAUAAUCGAACCAAGCUACUCCAGGGAUAACAGCGCUAUCUUCUUCAAGAGCCCAUAUCAAAAAGAAGGUUUACGACCUCGAUGUUGGAUCAGGACAUCC
rnacentral:rRNA from 1 species